AUUGAACGCUGGCGGCAUGCCUUACACAUGCAAGUCGAACGGCAGCACGGGGGCAACCCUGGUGGCGAGUGGCGAACGGGUGAGUAAUGCAUCGGAACGUGCCCAGUAGUGGGGGAUAACCAGUCGAAAGACUGGCUAAUACCGCAUACGACCUAAGGGUGAAAGCGGGGGAUCGCAAGACCUCGCGCUAUUGGAGCGGCCGAUGUCUGAUUAGCUUGUUGGUGGGGUAAAAGCCCACCAAGGCGACGAUCAGUAGCUGGUCUGAGAGGACGACCAGCCACAAUGGGACUGAGACACGGCCCAGACUCCUACGGGAGGCAGCAGUGGGGAAUUUUGGACAAUGGGCGCAAGCCUGAUCCAGCCAUGCCGCGUGCGGGAAGAAGGCCUUCGGGUUGUAAACCGCUUUUGGCAGGAACGAAACGGCGAUCUCUAAUACGGGUCGUUAAUGACGGUACCUGCAGAAUAAGCACCGGCUAACUACGUGCCAGCCGCCGCCGUAAUAC
rnacentral:rRNA from 1 species